rnacentral:rRNA from 1 species
CCUACGGGUGGCAGCAGUCGAGAAUCAUUCACAAUGGGGGAAACCCUGAUGGUGCGACGCCGCGUGGGGGAAUGAAGGUCUUCGGAUUGUAAACCCCUGUCAUGUGGGAGCAAAUUAAAAAGAUAGUACCACAAUAGGAAGAGACGGCUAACUCUGUGCCAGCAGCCGCGGUAAUACAGAGGUCUCAAGCGUUGUUCGGAAUCACUGGGCGUAAGGCGUGCGGAGGCGGUUUCGUAAGUCGGGUGUGAAAGGCGCGGGCUCAACCCGCGGACGGCACAUGAUACUGCGAGACUGGAGUAAUGGAGGGGGAACCGGAAUUCUCGGUGUAGCAGUGAAAUGCGUAGAUAUCGGGAGGAACACUCGUGGCGAAGGCGGGUUCCUGGACAUUAACUGACGCUGAGGCACGAAGGCCAGGGGAGCGAAAGGGAUUAGAUACCCUGGUAGUC